AUCCACUCGAUGAGUCCAAAAUAGGACGAAACGCAUGUCCUUGAU
rnacentral:hammerhead_ribozyme from 1 species